rnacentral:rRNA from 1 species
GACGAACGCUGGCGGCGUGCUUAACACAUGCAAGUCGAACGGUAAGGCCCUUCGGGGUACACGAGUGGCGAACGGGUGAGUAACACGUGGGUGAUCUGCCCUGCACUUCGGGAUAAGCCUGGGAAACUGGGUCUAAUACCGGAUAGGACCCUGGGAUGCAUGUCCUGGGGUGGAAAGCUUUUGCGGUGUGGGAUGGGCCCGCGGCCUAUCAGCUUGUUGGUGGGGUGAUGGCCUACCAAGGCGACGACGGGUAGCCGGCCGGGGAGGGUGACCGGCCACACUGGGCCGGGGAUACGGCCGAGACGCCUACGGGAGGCAGCAGUGGGGAAUAUUGCACAAUGGGCGCAAGCCUGAUGCAGCGACGCCGCGUGAGGGAUGACGGCCUUCGGGUUGUAAACCUCUUUCAGCACCGACGAAGCGCAAGUGACGGUAGGUGCAGAAGAAGGACCGGCCAACUACGUGCCAGCCGCCGCCGCCG